rnacentral:rRNA from 1 species
AGAGUUUGAUCCUGGCUCAGAACGAACGCUGGUGGCGUGUCUUAUACAUGCAAGUCGAGCGGUCCGCAAGGGAUAGCGGCGAACGGGUGAGUAACGCGUAAGCAAUCUGCCCCCUGCUCGGGAAUAGCCGUGCCAACGCGCGGGUAAUACCGGAUAUAGUGGCCCUGGACAUCCGGGGUUGACAAAAGAUUUAUCGGCAGGGGGAUGAGCUUGCGUCCGAUUAGCUAGUUGGCGGGGCAACGGCCCACCAAGGCGACGAUCGGUAGCCGGCCUGAGAGGGUGAUCGGCCACAUUGGGACUGAGAUACGGCCCAGACUCCUACGGGAGGCAGCAGUAGGGAAUAUUGCACAAUGGGGAAACCCUGAUGCAGCAACGCCACGUGUGGGAAGAAGCAUUUCGGUGUGUAAACCACUGUCGUGAGGGAAUAAGGCAUCGUUUCGGCGAUGUUGAAUGUACCUCGAGAGGAAGCACCGGCAAACUUCGUGCC